CCCCCAAGAAGCGCUGGGAGCUGCGCUCUCCUUUUCCUAACCCUGGCCGUCUCCACCGAGGUCGCAGACACUCCUGAGACCGAAGAGGAGGAUGAUAAUGUGCUGAUCUUAAAAACGAGCAACUUCAAUGAGGUGCUGGCCACCUGUGACUACCUCUUGGUGGACUUCUAUGCCCCUUGGUGUAAGCCCUGUAGAGAUUUGAUACCUGAGUUUUCCAAGGCAGCGGAACAAUUGAAAGUCGAGAACUCUAAUAUCACAUUGGCCAAAGUAGAUGCCACUGAAGAGCACGAUCUAGCAGAACAGUUUAACAUUCGAGUGUUCCCUACUAUCAAGUUAUUUAAAAAUGGAGAUGCAUCUUUCUCUAAGGAUUAUACAAACGGCAGAGAAGCUAAGGAUAUUGUGGAAUGGAUGAAGAAACGAAUCCAGCCCUCUGUCAUUUUGCUGGAGGAUGCUGCUGCUGCAGAGUCUUUAAUGGUUUCCAAUGAAGUUUUUGUUUUAGGCUUAUUCAAAGAUGGUCAGUCCUCCAAUGCUAAGAAUUUCUCAGAUGCUGCAGAGUACUUCGAUAACAUCCCAUUUGGAAUGACUUUCACCGAAGACGUCUUCACCCAAUAUCAAUUGGAUAAAGAUAGCAUUAUUCUUUUUAAGAAGUUUGAUGAAGGUCGAAUCGACUUCGAUGAAGAGAUUACAAAAAUGAAUGUAGUAAAUUUUGUCAAUCACCACCAGCUGCCCUUGGUCAUCGAGUUCUCCGAGGAGACUGCCCCGAAGAUUUUCGCAGGUCAGUUGAAAACACAUUUAUUAUUGUUCAUGCCCAAGAACAGUCCGGAUUAUGAGGACAAAAUGGACCAAUUCAAAAAAGCAGCUGAAAGUUUCAGGGAGAAAAUCCUAUUUAUCAUCAUCGAUACCAACAACAAUGACAACAUGGGUAUCCUUAAUUUCUUUGGCUUGAGUCAAGAAGAGUGCCCAACAAUGCGACUCAUUAGUAUGGAGACUGAGAUGGUCAAGUACAAGCCUGAGUCAGAAGAAUUAACUACAGAGUCAAUAGAGGAAUUCUGUAGGCAGUUUUUGGAGGGCAAAUUCAACUUCCAUUUGAUAAGCCAAGAUGUGCCUGAUGACUGGGAUAAAGGGCCUGUUAAAGUGUUGGUUGGGAAGAACUUUGACAGUGUUGCUUUUGAUCCAAGAACUAAUGUCUUUGUGAACUUCUAUGCCCCUUGGUGUGGUCAGUGCAAAAAACUAGAUCCCAUUUGGGAAAAACUGGGAGAAGCUUACAAGGAUCAUGAAAAUAUAAUCAUUGCCAAGAUGGACUCAUCAGUUAAUGAGGUAGAUUCUGUUGUGGUCCACAGUUUUCCCACACAGAAGUACUUCCCUGCAGGUAUUGGUAGAAAAAUCAUUGAAUACCAUGGGGUAAGGACACUAGAAGGUUUCAAAAAUUUCCUAGACAAUGGUGGCCAUGAGGGACUAAGGGAAAUAGGUCAUUUAGAAGUCCUAGAUGAAGCUGAAGAACUCGAGUUAGAAGAUCAGAAUGAACAACAACAAGAUAAUGCGAAAGAUGAGAAAGACAAGAUCAACAUAUCUCAAAAUUAAGACAUUGCACUAUGGGUUAUACCAAUCAAACCGGAAAUGGAUCUGAAGGCUUGUAAGAUUCCCAACUGAAGAAGAGCAUUGAUUAAAAACCCAGAGUGUG